CUACACUACUGUGGACUACACUACUACACUACAGUGGACUACACUACUACACUACUACUAUACUACAGUGGACUACACUACUACACUACUACUACACUACAGUGGACUACACUACUACUACUAAUAUACUACACUACUACUACUAUACUACAGUGAACUACACUACUACUACUAUACUACAGUGAACUACACUACUACUACUAUUAUACUACAGUGGACUACACUACCACUACUACUACUACUACUACUAUACUACAGUGGACUACACUACCACUACUACUACUACUAUACUACAGUGGACUACACUACUACUACAGUGAACUACACUACUACUACUCCUACUACUACAGUGAACUACACUACUACUACUACCACUACUACUACAGUGAACUACACUACUACUACCACUACUACUACUAUACUACAGUGGACUACACUACUACUACUAUACUAAAGUGGACUACACUACUACUAUACUACAGUGGACUACACUACUACUACUAUACUACAGUGAACUACACUACCACUACUACUACUAUACUACAGUGGACUACACUACUACUAUACUACAGUGGACUACACUACUACUACUACUACUACUACUAUACUACCAGGACUUCUCCCUAUUUGAAACUAUGGAUCUUUAUUGCCUCACCUCUAACUCCAGACCGUUCUUCAACUCUGGGCUGACCCUUUAACCAGGUCUAAAACCAGGACAAUACCAGGACAAAACCAGGACAAUACCAGGUCUAAAACCAGGACAAUACCAGGGCGAACCAGGUCUAAAACCAGGACAAAACCAGGACAAUACCAGGUCUAAAACCAGGACAAUACCAGGACAAUACCAGGACAAAACCAGGACAAUACCAGGGCGAACCAGGUCUAAAACCAGGACAAUACUAGGACAAUACCAGGUCUAAAACCAGGACAAUACCAGGACAAAACCAGGACAAUACCAGGUCUAAAACCAGGACAAUACCAGGACAAAACCAGGACAAUACCAGGUCUAAAACCAGGACAAUACCAGGACAAAACCAGGACAAUACCAGGACAAAACCAGGACAAUACCA
rnacentral:lncRNA from 1 species